rnacentral:lncRNA from 1 species
UUUGAUUGCAAGUAUUGGGAAAACUCAACGCUUUAUUAUCUUUGCAGAUUCACCAUUUCUUUUUCUUUAUUGCAAAAAAAGUUUGUACUGCACAGCUUUUCCUUUAGAAAAAUUUUAAAAAGUGUUGGUCCAAUUAGGAUGACCCAUUUGGCAAUAGUGGACUGGUGCAGCUCUAGCCUGUUAUCCUUCCACUGCGAGGAGCGGGAAGUUCUCGUUGCUCUGUCAAGCCAGCCUCACGCAGUAUCCUCCACUUUAGGAGCCAAGUGGUCCGGGCCUCCGCUCAAACCACAUGGCUCAGCCCUCCGCUUGGAAUGGGCAGGCCGGUAGUUAGCUUCACAAGGCCUACCAUCGGGACCACUCCAACGUUCCAACACUUUAAUGCCCCCCCUAGGGUCACAAGCUCGCGCGACCAAGCUCGGCGACAGGCUGCUCCUAGGCAUCUGAUUAUUAAGUGACGAAAAGAUGGAAUUUCUUCGAUGUGGGACGUAUUUGUUUUCUUUUUCUUUCACGAGUUCUUAUGUGUUUCUGGGUAGGCCUGUCAAUCGGGCCUAAUGAGCCGGGCUUUGAUGAGUUCAAGCUCAGCUCAUUUAAUUUGAAACAUUUUCGGGCUUCGGACUAUGAGUUUCGGGUUCGUAAAUGUGAAGCUCAUAUUCAGCUCACAUAAUAUUCGGGUUGUGAGCCUUAAUCGGGUUUAGCCCAAGCUCACUUAUUACUCCUGAAUUUUCUUAAUAUAAUUACUAUAACUAUUAAGUUGUAAAACUAAUUUAACAUUUACAAGACUAUAAUAUUAAAACUAAACAUGAACAAAUAAUAGUUCUUAAAAAGUAUAUAAACCAAAAUUUUUUCAACAAUAUUUAUAUGUAAUCCGUUUAAAAUGCAUGAAAAAUAGUAAUAAAACAUGCAAUCAUAAGCCAAUACAUCUUUAAAAGUUGAAACUUUUUUUAUAAUCUUGUGAUUUAAAUCCAAAUAUGCUUGAUGAUUUUUGUGUUUGUAGACCAAAAAAAAAAUCAACCAAUAAUAUGCCAAUACAAAAAGUUACUCAACCAAUAAGAAAAAUUAGAGAUUUAGUUAUGCAUUACUAAUAUUGGCUCUCAAGAAAGCUCAUGAAAGAGUCUUUAGAUGUGUUUUUGUGUUUUGUAAUUUAUAUAUAUAUUUAGUAUUUAGCAAAAAUAUAUUUGGAUAUAUAAUUAUACAUAAUAUCAAAAUAUAAAUAUUAUAUAUAUAGGUAAUUAAAAGGCCGGGCCUAUAUCGGGUAUGAGCCUAAUAAGGCUCAAGCUCGGCUCACAUUUAAUUCGGGCCUAAUUUUUACGCUCAAACUCAGACCGGCUCACUAAAUGAUCGGGCUCAUCGGGCUUUUUGUCGGGCCGAACGAGCCGAGCUCGGGCUGGCCCAGCCCCAUUGACAGUCCUAUUUCUGGGAAACGCUUCAAUGGUACCAAAAGAAAUGUGCUAGAUGUGUAAGUGCUGGUAUUAUUGAGGAUGGAAAUGCAGGCUUUAAGAGAAGGUUGAUUGCUGCCAAAUCACCAUUAGUAACUAAAAAGAAAUUGAAGUAAAAGCUAGUACUCAUCAAAUUGGUAAAUCUUAAUCGUCAAAAGGUUUGAAUGUCUAUGGAAAACCUCCAACGAGGAUUCCUUAAAUUUCUUGAGCAUGGCAAAAGAAGCUUUUUGUUUUUGACAUUCUUGCUCGAUUGCCAAAUACAAAGGGCACCAUAUCUUUGUCAGAAUUGCUCUACAAAACCUUCGAAAUGGUGGAUGAAUGUAGGAACGGUAGAUAGUUAACCAAAGUAAUAGUCUCACCUUUUUAUUGAUAUGAGCUCAAACAUCUUCAAAAGCAUACAAAAAGAGAAAAGGAUGACCAAAUUCGAGCACACACAAAAUUGGAUGUAGUGAUGUUUGAGAAUGAGCAUUCUGAAAUAAAACUUCGUCGUAGAUAACAAAAUGUUAAUUAUGACUGGAUACUUGACCAUAUGAACAAAUUUGUGAAAAUUGGCACUUCAACUAUUGUACUAAGACCAACACCAAACACCAGAUUGACAACUAGUUCCCCUUCCAUGGUUCUAUUCCUUAAAUAUACUUCACAAAACGCAACAAGCAAAGAGCUUUUCCGUUGGUAUGAUAUCAUUAAUUUAUUUUGAAGCGCCAUUCCUGUUUAAAGCCCUUGGCAAGUUUUUCUUCAUUGUAAACUACAUAUCGCUCCAAUAUAUAAAAGUAAACCAAUGCUAUUUCUUUCCGUUUAUCUUUCAAUCCAAUGAACUAGGAAGAUGGCCGCAAUCAAUAGUAAGAUUUAAAAUUGGCUACACAUCUUUUCCCUCUUUAAUGAAAGUGAGUGUGUUUCAGGUAAAGUUUCUAUUUAUCUUUAGAUAUUCUUCCUCGGUAUAUAAGAGCAAGUAUCUAGAACUGAACCCCUAUGCAUAUAUAUCUCUUCAAUAUUCCUGGCUUCGAUCGCCAGUUACUGAGCGGUACAUUUGCUGUUAACAAUUUUGCAAAGGAUGGCGGUCACCCACCCCACGGGGGACUAAUGGGGGGGGGGGCGAUUUCCCCCCGCUUAGGGAGGGGGCAGGGGAGUGUACCCCCGCCUCAUCUCUUGCCCCACCACCUGCAUUAAAAAAAUAAAUAUAUAUAAUAUAUAAUUUAAUUAGUUACAAAUUUAUGAUAAUGAUAUUAUUAGUUAUAUAUAUUAUAUAAUGUAUAUUAAUAUAUGUAAUAUAAUUGAUAUUAUCAAUUAUACUAAUAAUUAUAUAUGUGUACUAAUACAAAAUUAUUAAUUGGUUAUACUAAAUUUACUAAUACAUAUAUACUAAGUCCCUAAUUACACUUAUUACAAUAACAUUUUUUUCUUUAAAAAAAAAAAAAGCACAAGCACAAUAAUAAAUUAGUGAUUGUAUUUAUGCCAAAAGUGAAAACUUGACUACUUUAGUUCUAUUUAUUUCAUCAUGUUGGAUUGUAUUCAAAUAACUUUUGUUUGAUUGUUUUUAUAAGUUUCAAUUGUGAAAUUACAAUGAAUAAUAAUUUGGUGAUAUGUUGAUAUUUUGGUACUUGAUUAUUUGGACUUUUUCAUGAUGCCACAGACAUCCCAUGUUUAUCCAUUACUUGUCCAUGCCUUCUGCAGUCUCAAGAGAUCUUUUUAACUAUCUUCUCCCUCUGCAUGCAUUCUGCAGUUCUUCUGGGAGUCUCGCUUGGACCAUUGCCCAUCAGAGUUUGAAAAAAAUCUACUAAAACUUUUUAUUUUCUUUUGUUCAAUAAUCCAUUAUUCAGAUCAGGCAAUGUACAAUAUACAAAAAUAAAAAGCUAAUGAUUAAAUUGCAAUGAUGAUUAAAAGCUGAUGAUUAAACCCUAAACCCUAAACUUCGGAGUCGAGAAACUGGAUGAAGCGCACGAUUAACGGGGUGAGAUUUUGUGGAUAGUGAUAUAUUUGUCGAUUGAUAUAAAAUAAAAGGUUUUUCUAAUGGGGCCUAAUGUGUACUUGUUAGUACAUUUUAAUCACAUCUAACUUACCAUAUGAAUUUAUACAUUGACAAAUUAUUAUCCUAUACUGCAUUUACAUGCUUUCCCUAAUUAAUAUUAUUUUUUCAAAAUAUGAACACACGAAGUCCAUAUUAACAAGUGACCAUUGGACACUCAUUAGACAGAUCAUUAAUUAACGAGUGCCCAUUGAAAUGUAUACAUAUAAAAUUCACCUAAUCUAUCAUGUAUAUACAUAUACUAACAAUUAUUAACCUCCCUUGCAUUUAUAUACUUUUCCUAUUGUCCUCCUUUGCAUUUAUAUACUACAAUUACUAUCCUCCUUUGCAAUUACUCCUAUGAUGUUUUCCCAUAUUCUUCCCUCUGAUUAACACCCUCCUGAAGUCUUUGAUAAUCCUCAACCUUGGGUUUUAUAAGAUUACAAGUAGCCUACAAAACAGGCAUAAAAACUCACCGGAUUUCAAUUUGUUUUUGUUUUUUAGGAUAAGAUUAACUACAAGUAGAAACUUACGUAUAGCGAGAUUUGAGCCUAGUUUCUCCUACUCAUGUAAAUGGUCAAUGUGGAGAGAUUUUGUGGUCAGAUUUGAUCUCUCACUGGGCAUUUCAGCCUAUUUGUUGCCAAAGAUCGUCCUUAGCUGCUUGCUUGCUAGCAAUGCUAGGUUCAGAUAUCUAUCUCAGUAUUCACUAUUCAGUACAUAAUUUUUUUUUACUGUUUGAAGUGCGAGAAGACUAGCAGAGUAGUUACUGAAUUACUGGAGCCUGCCUGCGUUAUGCUUAAACUCUAUGUUUUCAGAACCGGACCGGAUAGCGACUCGACCAAGGUCAGGGGUCAGGGGUCAAUGGGUUCGACCGGGGGUCGAUAGGGGUCGAACCGGAUGACGUCAUAAAUAAAAAUUAUUUAAAAAUUAAAAUAUUAUAUAUAUCAUAUCUAAUAAUAUAUUGAUAUUAAUAAAGGUAUAUUCAUAUAUAUUUGAUGUUUCAAAUAUAUUUAACAAGAAAAUAUAAAGAAAUUAGAACAAUCAAGUAGCAAUUUAUAUUAUUUAAUAAAUAUUAACAAGUUUAGAAUUAAAAUUAUGAAUUUAAUUGAAAAAUAACUUCAAAUUGUAGGACAAUAUUUAUAAAGUAUCAAAUAUUUGAGGUAUACGAAUAAGUUUUAACAAUUUAGGGGCCAAAACAUAAUAUUAUAAAGUUUGAAUUUUUUUUUUUAAAAAUUACUGUUGAACCGGAAAAACCGGUUUUUUCCCGGUCAAACCCGGAUUUUGACCGGCUUUGACCGAGUUUUAAAAUUUCCGGUUUUCUAAGUUGACUCGGACCGGCUACCUGGCCGGUUCCCGGUUCGACUGGCCGGUCCGGUCCGAGUUUGAAAAGAGAGCUUAAACUCCAUCAGAUGGAAAUUUUUUGAAAAGUUGGUAAGGAAAAAUUCAUAGAGACCUCUCUGGCAGAUUAUUUGUGUGAUUGAGCAAAAAUACAGACAUUGUAUCUUUUUCUUUAUAUAUAAUCCUUUUUUCUCAAUAUGCAUUGUCAUUCCUUUUAUUGAUACUCCAAUAAUGAUCAAACACCGUAUAUUAGUUGCUUCAACCGCCUACAAGCAAUGAUCAUGGUAGAUAUUUUUGCUUAGAUUCAGUAAUGAAUUUACAAUAUACUCCUGAUCAGUGGGGGCGUACGUCUUGGCAAGGGGGUACAGGUGCACCCACUGGCCAAAAGAAAAUGCAUGUAUACAAUUUGUGCCCUGUUUAGAUUGUGAAAUAAAUUUUACUAUCAUACUCCAUCCGUCCCACUUUGAUAGUCUAUAUUCCUUUUUCAUCUGUCCCAAAUUGUAGUCCACUUUUCAAUUAAAGAAUGUAGUUGUAUUUUAAUUUUUCUAAAAUACCCUUAUUCAAUGUAAGUAGUUGUUACUAUAAACUUACCCAUUGAAUGAGAGUUGAUUUUUUUUUUACCAUCAAUUUAAGUUUCCAUAAAAUUGUACCAUAUUUAAUGUGAGGGUAUUUUAGGAAAAUAGCAAUCUAAAUUUACUUUUCCAACAAAGUUAACUACUUUUUCUUAAACUGUAUGAGAAAAAAAAUAGACUAUCAAAGUAGGACGGAGGGAGUAGCAGUUAUUGUAAUUUGACAAAGAAUAAAUAAAUGAAGAGAACCAAUCUAGGAGCAAAACUCACAUUCCAAUGCAACUCUUGAGUAUCAAAUUGACCGGCCUACGCUCCACAACAAUUGAUUCCUACCAUUUAAGUACAUUUAUUGAGAUUUAUAUGUCACACCCUGGAUGCACAGGGCAAGAAGUCACCGGAGUUUUAACAGUCAAAUCCAACUAUUUAGACUCGAUCCUUGCUAGCCUAAAAUGGAUAUCCCAAGUUGGAGUUUGAAGAAGCACUGAGCUUUCCCAAACCGAGCUGACCUGACGAGCUCGGCGUGCUGAUGAGAAGAGUGUGUCCCAAUCCUGCAAAACAAACAAAAAGUGGUCUCUAGGGUGACUAACAGGGGAGCCCCCCGGUUGUCCCCGAGAGAGCACUCCGAUGGUCAAGUUAGUUUUCCGGUGAGUGGAGUUCGUCGAGAGAGUAAAAUCACUGGGAGUGUUUUGCCAAUAGUGAGCGUACCUUAUGCAGUUGGCAUGCGGCUAUCAUUUAUAUCUGCUCGAAAGUCCGAUCUCCGUCGUUUCGAGCUCCUUCCUGGAAUAGUCUCAAUCCCACGCUGAGGGGGAUUCCCCCGCUCUCUGCGGAUUGUUCUCUAGACCCUUAGAGAGCCCUAGCGGUGGCGCGCCUCAGGAUAGUUCCCAUAGGCCUGGGGUCCAAGCCCAGUUCUGGCCUCCUUGCGCACGUGUCUAAGCUCAGGACGGGACCUUUGCAGAGUUAAUUGUUGAGACUUUGAUUGCAUUUUGAGCCUGUAGGCCCUAGGCGUGAUAUUAUGAUAUUAAAGUGAAUCUCAUGUAGUCUUUGCACAGAGUGAAAUUAAGUCAAUGAUAUUGGGUUGGACUACACAAGAAAGUGGAAGAAUUAAAUCUCGUGUAGAGUUAAGUGCUACGUCAUUAGAGUCUGUACGAGUUACUUCUAAAAUCCGUACGAGCCAUCUCUAGAAUCUAACACAAUUAAAUGGACAAUCCAGAUUAUGAUAUUGUGUUAGAUUUUGGAGGAGACAAACUCUAAAAUAGAGGGGUGAAUAUAAUAUCCCAUUCCAUAUCUAAAAAGUAAAGUGCUGUACACCAAUACUUAAGUAAAGUAUCAACAGUCAAAUCUAACUAAGGAUAUUCAUUUUGAAUUAGCAAAGAUGAAAUCCAAAUAGUUGAACUUGACUAUUGAAACUCUGAUCACAUCUUGGACCCACAAGUCCAGGGAGUGAGCGUGACAUCUAUAUCUUUAGAAGGAUUAAAUAAAUAUUCUUGUUAAUUUUGUGCACCCAUUGGAAAAUGUUUCUAGCUCUAGACAUCUUCUUUAAACCAUAAAGCAAGCAAAUUCAAAAGUAAGGCUCACGAAUUUUCCACGUAUGCUCAGCAAAAUUUUCCACGUACAAAUACAGAGAGUAUCUGCAAUAUCAUAAUCAGAAGCUUCAAGCACUAAAGCUUGAAUGCGGAAAUGGCCAACCGCUGCAAAAAGUAGAGAGCUUGCAUGCGAACAAGAAGUAAUGUCAAGUAUAAAGCUUCUAACAAUGUCCGACUCAUGAGAGGACAAUUCUCUAAAGCUUAGAAUCAAAACCAAAAGUACAUGAACAAGAUAUAAGGAAACCAUGCUACACCUUGAGAAUGUUUUCAGACAAAAAGAGAGAUUUCACAAUCUGCAUGCGCCCAACAAAUUUAAGAGCAUGCUGAUGAAGAAAAUCAAUUUUCCUCUCCAAGAUAACUGGGAGAUCCAACUUGCAAUACUUUUGCAUAGAAAGACUUGAGUUUUCAAAUAAAAUCUACACGAUUCACUAUUCUAGUCGAAAUUUUUAAGAUUUGCACCAUCUAUACCAACUUCAGGCUCUCCACUCACAUAAUAGGAUGAAUGUUCAGGAUUGGAUGACCUUGCAGUAAUAGCAAACAUCUCUACUAUACUAAGGACACCAGAAAGGCAGAGAGGAAAAAGUUUUCAGAGGAGGAGUCAAGAAAUAAAGAUUUUGGGUAUGGUGAAGAGCCCAACAGAAACAAUUCUUCAAGCAAAUGACACCCCUGAAUAAGCCUAUUAACAGUGCCUUAAUCAACAAAUCCAAAGCCCUCCAAGUGCAUAACCUUGACACUUGGUAAAGAAACCAAUUCAGCAAUAAUCAAAUCCAAAUUCCUAUUUGUUUUCAAACUAACUAGUGCUUGGCACGGAAACAUCCUAGGAGUAGAUAUUAAAUACUGGGAAACUACAGUAGUUUUCACUAUUAUAUAGUCUCCCACCAAAAUCUCAAGUUCUUUGACAUUAAUUUGAAGCACAGAAGCAAUUAACCGGUCAAUUUGGAAUCUAUGAAUUUCAUCCAAUUUUGCCAGGUACAGACAAAAUUUUUUAAAAGAAGCCCCUUUUCAUGGUUGAAUAACUCGAUCCCAAAAUCUAAAGGAUUAUAGAACCAUCCAAUCACAGUCAUGUUUGGUGCCUUUAUAGUAAUUAUAUAACAUAAGAUAUAUAUUGGACAGUGAAGUGAAAAGAAAUCUCCAUUUGCUGGACAAGAUUGACAUGGCUGGCUGCAGCACUUUUGGUAGGGAAAAACAACAGAAUGUGUAGAAGAAGAGACAUAGAAAGAAGUAAAAUGAAGGCAUACAUACCUGCAGGGAGUGGUGACAUAAGUCAAGUGACUUCACACUUUGUAACCAAUUAAUAAGCUCAAAAGCCAGCUGACUACGAAAUAACAAGCCACUUUCAGUUCCUUCUGCGUUGUGAUGCGACAAUGAAAUUGUGGCUCUAACAAGAGACUUCAGUUCUUGAAUGAACGCUACUCUUUGAGCAUCAAUUUCAUACACCAAAUCUUUUCAGUCUCGGGACAUUUAGCAUAAACUUAUGAUUUCCAAAUCCGCUGACUUCAAGAUACUUUUAGGCUGUUACGCCCAAUUACAUAGUUGUAGCGUCCUCCCAAACUAGCAAGUCUUAAGUUUUUUCAAUGAAGGACUAGAUAAAUCAACCACUUCAAUUAUAACAGACAAAACUAUGGAAAAGUAAGUACAAUUGUUCAAGAGAUGGGCAACCACGAAUAAGUCUCGGAAAGUAAUUUUCAUCUACUAAUCCACAGGUCCUGUCAAGUGCAACACCUUGAGAUUUGGCAAAAAAACUGAAGUGGGAACAAGAAGAUUCACUAGCCAUGAUAGUUUCACAGUUACCAGAGUUUUGCAAAUGAAUAUUUCUAUAGGAAACAAUCGUCACACUGACGUGCAGCAGAUAUAAAGAAUUCCAGCCCCAUCUGAAAUCUUUCCCCCAGCCUAUCGACACAGACACUCAAUUUUCUAAAACAAAAGUAGUUUGAGCUGAGUGUUGUUACACAUGGCGUCGCCCGGACUCGAACCGGAGACCUUCAGUGUGUUAGACUGACGUGAUAACCAACUACACCACGACACCAGACGUUUGAACGGCUGUCUUGUCCUCCUAAGGAAUUAUAAUUGAGACAACAAAAGCGUGUUUUUGAUCAAGUAACUUAAUUACCGAGAAAUGUAUUAGUAUAUUAGUCUUGUGUAAUAUGAUGAGUUGACUUCGUCAGUUUGAUUUCCAGGAGAAGCAAACCUACAUAUUAUUUAACAACAACACCACGGGAAAAAAUUUAACUAAAAAAAGUGAGAACCUGUAGACUGGUGGGUAAUGCAUUUGGGAUUAGCUAAUUGAGAAAACAGACCGCCGGAUUUAUCAGUCCCAUUUCAUCAGGCUUCUCAAGUUGACGAUGAAUCUUUUGAUAGAUCUUCUUCGGUCUCCCCAAAUUAGUUGAGAACCCUCACUUCUCUUCCCGAAAUCGUCUACUUUGGGUGUAGUCACAUUUCCCCUCCAAAUAUUGCACCAUUUAUCAUAGUUUUUUAUAGUUGAAAGUCGAGCCAAUCUACUUGAUACUCGAAGUCGGAUUUAACUUGACCUUGUCGAAUUUCGUUUGAACUUGGUUUGGAAAUUAAUUAAACAAAGCAUGAAUAGCGUGACUUGUUUUUGGUUAAUUGUGUUGUGCAUUUUUCAACUAUACUGAAAUGAAACUCUUUAAACCCUAAAAUUGAAAUAUAAAAUUUAUCCUGUUUGAAGCUAAAACGGGACUAAAGUAUCUCAUCUUAUAUUGCAGGACAAAUUGUAUGCCUAAAUUAGACCAAUUUUAUAGUUCGAAAACUAAAAUAUCUCAUUUUAAAAUUUAAGUACUAAAGAGAGAAUUUGGUUAUAGUUGAAAGGCGCAAAAUAGAAUUAACUCUAUUAUGUUUGAACUUUGGCUCAAUUAACGUUGUUUUUAAAAUUUAUAUGUAAAAAAUUCAAACAAUUCAAAUUUGUCUUGAAAAAUGUUUGUUUUAGUUCAGUCUUGAUAAAUAUUUAAUCCAAGCUUGAAAUAGUUCAACCAAAAUUGGCAUUUUUUUUCAAGAGAAGGGUACAAAGAACAAAAAAGACACACCAUUCAUCCUCAAUCUACUUAAUUUUUUGCAUCUUUCUUCGUCCUCAUUAAUGAAUGUGUGUAGAAAAACAAAUAGUAAGCCACUUUAAUCAACUGAACUCAUUCCUUUUCAAGUAAUCUUUGGAUUGAUUUUGGUAACUUGUGUGUUUCACUAAUUUUUUUUUUCUAAUCUGUUGCAGAGUUUGACUAAUCUUCAUGAUAAAACUGAAACAGAUUUACUGCUAUCUUUUGGGUUGCGACAAUGAUUUGGUGGCAAUCGUUAUUUUAAUCUUGAAUUUUUUUUGUUGUUGAAAUUUGAUUGAUUAGCAUCAGCUAAAGUUCUUAACUCUAAAACUUUUUGAGGAUUAAUGAUUUUUUGGCGCUUUGAUUUGAUGUAGUUAUAGAAAUUUUCGGAUCAACUAAAGUUCUUAACUCCAUGGAGAAGAACCUAAGAAAUUGUAUAUCAUUGAUGAGCCCUUGUAAACUCAUCGGUUGAAAUUUUUUUACUAAUCUGUUUCUUUUGUUUGUUAAAGAAAGAAAUGAGUCCUUUUCUCACAAAAAUUCUGGCUAUUGAUAUCUAUUACAAACAAUACAUCUUGAAUUGAGCCUUGUGACUUGCUGCAGUAUCCAUCAUCCAAUCCAACAGUGCCAAUUUAACAGUGCAAUCGGAGAGCCCAAAUUAAGUAAUAAAUUGUUAGGGUACUCACUUCCACUAUACUUGUCAAGUAGCUACUACUAAACAGGUGUUAUUUUGAGAAAAUGCAGUUUUGGUUCCAAACUUUAACAGAUGCGCAGUUUUAAUCCCCAAACUUUGGACAAGAACAAAUCUUGUACCCAAACUUUUAACUUUUGAGCAUAUUUAGUACUCUAGAAAAUUUUUUCCUAAAUUGCAACUUGAAAGAGUCAUGUGCUAGUCACAUGUCUAGUAACUAUUAAUAAAAAACUGCCAAAAAAUGUAGACUCCAGGGUCGGUCCGUGAGUAGUUUAUACAUUCUCGUUUGUACUCCCUUCGCCUCUGUUCAGUUCGUCUAUUCCGUAUGAAUUGUCUUAGGUGUCCUCAUUUGAUCAGCUCUUCAAUGUCUUUCUUGAGGUCUCGACAGUCCUCUGUAUCAUGUCCUACGUCUCGAUGGUAAGCACAGUACAAACUUUGAUCCCUCCUGCUCUUAUUAUUGGCUAGUUUUCUGGGAGAUCAAGAGAGAACUUCCUGUUCCAUCACCGCUAGAACCUGAGCUCUUGGUGCUGUAAGAGGGGUCCAUCCACUCUCUCCUUUGAAGGGUCGGUUUCUUGACAAACGAUCGAAGGUAUUCUUUCACACCUGACCUCCUCGCGCAUCCCUCGGGUCUAUGUUCUUCCUCCUCCUUUCGUCCCUCUAUCUCUCCUGUUCGCUUUUCAAACAAUUAACCUCCUUGGCAUUAGCUCGCUCAUGAGCUUGGUCCAGCAUUUCGCGAACUGACUUGGGAGGUUUUUUCACAAACUCGGUAUAUAAUUUCUGCAUGCGCAAUCUGUUGAUGAAGGCGGCCAUUACAACUUUGUCGUCCCGAUCUCGGACUUGGAGAGACUCAUUAUUGAACCGCACCAUAUACUCGCGCAGUGACCCCUCAGGCUUUUGGUGAAUUGUCAUCAAGUGAGCAGUGUUCUUAGAGAAGGUCCGAGACGAAACGAAUUGAGCAGCGAAUAGUCGAGCGAAUUGACUAAAUGACCGAACUGACCUGGGAGGUAAUCUCUAGAACCAUUGACGCGUCUUUCCUUCUAAGAACAUGGGGAAGGUUUUACACCUGACUACAUCGGCAGCCGUUUGUAGGCGCAUGUGGGUCAAAAAUGCGAACAGAUGAUCCUCCGAGUCCGUAGUCGCGUCCUAGGAUUUCAUGGUCGGAAUUUUGAACUUAGCGGGCAGAGGGUAGUUCUCGAUGUCUGGCACAAUAGGGAAGGUAGAAUACUUGUUCCCCUCUGGAUCUAACAAUAGGUCCAGUUCAUCCUGAACCGGAUACUCCCAUUUUCUCGAAGAGUACUCUCUUCGAGGGAUUCCCCGAAAGGGUUCAUGGUGGUCUGCUCGGGAGUUUCCGCGAGAGGACUCCAGAACUUCUAUCUGUUCGUGAGAGAGCUCCUUCCGCACUCACCUUUGUCUGGGGUAGGGCCUUCUAGUUCCAGAUUCUGACGGCUCCAAUCUUCCCAUCAUCUUGCCCCUUAGCUCCAGAUCGUGCAAAUCUCCAGUCCGACCCUUCAAGCAGUUCACAAUCGCCUCGAAGGUGGGCAGGUUCUUCGCCACCGCUUGUACCAGCUAUUCAGGCGGGAUCCACGAGGGCUCCGUCCUUUUUUCACCAGAAGUUGGUCCAUGGUGGGGAUUUUGGGGGUCACUUCGGUCGUUCCUCUUGGAUUCAUCAGCGUUUCUCUGAGAUCUAGUCCUUGGCAUAUUUUGCAAAGCAUGGAUGAGUGUUCACACAGAUGGUGCCAAUUGAUGUGAUAGCUAAGAGUGCGAUCUCAACAGAGUAGUAGCGGGCCGAGCAAACUGAAAAGGAGUGAAUUGGUACCAACGAGGUGGUCCGAGCUGACCUGCAAGAGAGUGAACAGCGGAGCUAGCUCCCUAUUGUGGCCCCGACGAUCAAGUCAGUUAUAGCUAUGAGUAGAGCAACAGUAUUGAUUACUGUAGAUGGCGUACCUUGUUUUGUUUUAUUGUGCUAUAUUUAUAGGGCUCUUGGUAGUAGUUUCCUUAUAGGAUUAUGAGCCCUACUAGAGAUGGACUCCUCUUUGGAUUCUGUCUGUUGGUCCCAAAAGGCUCGGGAGCUUUGGCCCACCCAACUAGGAGGUGGUGUCUUACCCGAGCUGGCCUUUGCAAAGGCCCGAGCUGACUUGCACGAACUGACACGUCCGAAUUGACAUGUGGCAUUGGCGAAUUGGCUCCUCCACACCCUACCUUACGAAAAGCAACAUAAACUCGAGCCUCAGAAAGAAGUAAAGGAAUUAUCCUAAACAAAGUGACUGACACUUGAACGAAUAAAGGUAAAGGGAAGAGAGAUUACCUUGCAAGAACAGCGGAUUUGGAGAUAAUUCUGAUCUUGGGACGAUAAUUUUUAUGUUUGUGAAGUUACAAGGUUCCCGGCUGUCCCGCAGAGCUCAGAGAGGUGCUGUUGUAAGCCAUAAGAGAGAGAACCAUUCGGGCUGUGACACUCCUGCAACAAAUUUUUGGCCCAUUGAAAGCCAUCUUUUUUUUUUUUCUUAAAUAAAAGUGGACAGCUCAUCUUUUAAUUAUAUAUCCUUCUCAUGCCACUUAAAUUGUCCCUUCUUUUAAUCCAUCUCUUUCCCAAAUUAUCUUAUGCAAAGUUUUAUUUUUGGUUCUUUUUUUUCGUUUUAUGUAUUGAGGUUGAUUUUAUUUGAAAAGUAAAAAACUUUUGUUAAAUCAAAUCUUUUUUUUGAAAUGUCUCUCUACCACUACAUUUACAAUGUAGUUUGGUAUGUCAUGUUGUGCAUCUUUUUGCAGCCAUUAAAUUGAUUUUUCAGAGGGCUGAUGUCUUCUCUGAGAUGCAAUAAGAGUUAUUUUUAGUAAACAAUGAUAUAAAACUUCAAGCAUAUAUUUGGCAUUUCAUUUAAUAGGGCUGAUAAAGAAUGAUUAAACUUGAAAAUGUGUAGGUAUAAGACUUUUAAUCACUCAAAAACCAAAUGUGAAGAGAAUUUUGGUGAAACAGUAUUUGAAAAUUGGAAAAACUUGGUUUUUACCGUUCCUUUAUUUAUUUUUUUGGAGAUUUUCUUUUGAUUGCAAGUAUUGGGAAAACUCAACGCUUUAUUAUCUUUGCAGAUUCACCAUUUCUUUUUCUUUAUUGCAAAAAAAGUUUGUACUGCACAACUUUUCCUUUAGAAAAUUUCAAAAAAAAUUUUCAAAAAGUGUUGGUCCAAUUAGGAUGGCCCAUUUGGCAAUAGUGGACUUGUGCAGCUCUAGCUGUUAUCCUUCCACUGCGAGGAGCGGAAGUUCUCGUUGCUCUGUCAAGCCAGCCUCACGCAGUGUCCUCCACUUUAGGAGCUAAGUGGUCCAGGCCUCCGCUCAAACCACAUGGCUCAGCUCUCCGCUUGGAAUGGGCAGGCCGGUGAGUAGCUCCACAAGGCCUACCAUCUGGGCCAAUCCAACGUUCCAACACUUUAAUACCCCACUCGGGUCACAAGCUCGCGCGAC